GAUGAAGAACGCAGCGAAAUGCGAUAAGUAGUGUGAAUUGCAGAAUUCAGUGAAUCAUCGAAUCUUUGAACGCACAUUGCGCCCGCUAGUAUUCUGGCGGGCAUGCCUGUCCGAGCGUCAUUUCAACCCAUCAAGCUUAGCGCUUGUGUUGGAGCCCUGCGGCCGCCGCAGCCUCCUAAAAUCAGUGGCGGGCUCGCUAUCACGCUGAGUGCAGUAGUAUUCUUCUCACUCCUGUGGUGUAGCGGGUAACCAGCCGUAAACCCCCCCAUCUAUAAAGGUUGACCUCGGAUCAGGUAGGAAUACCCGCUGAACUUAAGCAUAUCAAUAAGCGGAGGA
rnacentral:misc_RNA from 1 species